rnacentral:rRNA from 1 species
AUGCUUAGCUUGCUUUGCAUUCUUAGUGGCGGACGGGCGAGUAACACGUGAGCAACCUGCCUCUGAGAGAGGGAUAGCUUCUGGAAACGGAUGGUAAUACCUCAUAACAUAGAUGAGCCGCAUGACUUAUCUAUCAAAGAUUUAUCACUCAGAGAUGGGCUCGCGUCUGAUUAGCUAGUUGGUGAGGUAACGGCUCACCAAGGCGACGAUCAGUAGCCGGACUGAGAGGUUGAACGGCCACAUUGGGACUGAGACACGGCCCAGACUCCUACGGGAGGCAGCAGUGAGGGAUAUUGCACAAUGGAGGAAACUCUGAUGCAGCGAUGCCGCGUGGAGGAAGAAGGUUUUCGGAUUGUAAACUCCUGUUUCGAGGGACGAUAGUGACGGUACCUCGGGAGGAAGCUCCGGCUAACUACGUGCCAGCAGCCGCGGUAAUACGUAGGGGGCGAGCGUUGUCCGGAAUUACUGGGUGUAAAGGGAGCGCAGGCGGGAUUGCAAGUCAGGUGUGAAAUGCAGGGGCUCAACCCCUGAGCUGCACUUGAAACUGUAG